rnacentral:lncRNA from 1 species
UUUUUUUCCUUUGAUGCACAUUGCCAAGAUGCUCUGUAUUGAUCACUAUCAUAAUCUCUUCUCUAGCUGUAGUAAAAGCGAUCAAACCUUUUGCUCUGUAUGGAAGUCUUUCCACAUCUGAAUAAUCUUAGUCAGCACUCUCUUCACUCCUCCUUUUUAAAGCCUACUGGAUGCAGGAUGAGUAGGACUUAUGCAAGUGUUGAUAACUUUUUUCCAUACCAACAGAGCGUGCAUUCAGUAUGGUGGUACUCAGGCACUGCAGACUCACACCAGAGAAGCCUUUGCUGGGAAUAUUUCAAAGCUGUAAAGAAGAAAUUAACACUGACACGUACCAGAGUGGAAUUCAAAGGAGAUGAAGUUACCUUUCAGUAUCUAUGUCUUAAAGCACCAAGAGAGCUCAGGUGUCUAACUCAGCCUUCUGGAUCAGCAGCGCUAAUGGAAAGGGGCUUGAUCUGAAGCAUGCUGGAGUAGGUGAAAGAGGAGAGCAAUAGCUGCAGUGCCAUCCCAUGGCUUUCAAGAGGAUGCUGCCUACAGGAGAGCUGGCUUGGAUCACAUGGGGAAAAGCACAGUAACUCCAGGGUGAGCCUCAUUACCUCCUUGCUCUUAAUCCGUUUAGACAGAAAGCCCAGCUGCUGGUGACUCAGGAAAUAAUGAUUCAUAAUGGAAAUGGACCUCACACCCAAAAGGGGUUUGAGGCUGUGUCUUCACAAUGCCCAC